ACACCUCAACUCUCAUGGCUUGCCGUGAUGAGCUUGGACUUUGGGGGUCUUGUUGGCCUGUGAGCCAGCUCCCCUUAAAUGAAUUAGCUUGCCGGUGUUUGGUGGCGUCACAGGUGUGAUAACUAUCUACGCUUGUGGUUUCCCACCAGGUAACCUUCAGCAAUGGAGGUUCACUGGAGCUCAUAAAUGUCUCUCCCCAGCGAGGACAGAUUUUGACC
rnacentral:misc_RNA from 1 species